GACCCGAGCUGCCUCUGGAGUGACUCUGGUGAGUGAUGAACAGAGGUAGCUGUUAUUUUUGGGGUGCGGUUGUCGCUGCACUUACUCUACUACAUCAAAUAGAGUAAAAUUCCAGUUUCUCUUUUAGAGGUGCUCUAGGCGGCUUCAGAGAAUGGGUGGAAGCAUCUGCCAUGUGGGGUAGAGGCUUCACAAGGAGCUUCAGUACGCAUCAGAAGGGGCUUGACCGCAUAAGUGCAGUAUUACGGAGAGACUGAGCAGGGUCACCUUUCUCAUCUGUAAAGGAUAAGUCUGUGAUUACCCCUGUUGGGGCUGCUGUGCAUUCAUGGCCUUUUGGCAUUUGUGGACCUGA
rnacentral:lncRNA from 1 species